rnacentral:rRNA from 1 species
UGCAAGUCGAGCGGACAGAAGGGAGCUUGCUCCCGGAUGUUAGCGGCGGACGGGUGAGUAACACGUGGGUAACCUGCCUGUAAGACUGGGAUAACUCCGGGAAACCGGAGCUAAUACCGGAUAGUUCCUUGAACCGCAUGGUUCAAGGAUGAAAGACGGUUUCGGCUGUCACUUACAGAUGGACCCGCGGCGCAUUAGCUAGUUGGUGAGGUAACGGCUCACCAAGGCGACGAUGCGUAGCCGACCUGAGAGGGUGAUCGGCCACACUGGGACUGAGACACGGCCCAGACUCCUACGGGAGGCAGCAGUAGGGAAUCUUCCGCAAUGGACGAAAGUCUGACGGAGCAACGCCGCGUGAGUGAUGAAGGUUUUCGGAUCGUAAAGCUCUGUUGUUAGGGAAGAACAAGUGCAAGAGUAACUGCUUGCACCUUGACGGUACCUAACCAGAAAGCCACGGCUAACUACGUGCCAGCAGCCGCGGUAAUACGUAGGUGGCAAGCGUUGUCCGGAAUUAUUGGGCGUAAAGGGCUCGCAGGCGGUUUCUUAAGUCUGAUGUGAAAGCCCCCGGCUCAACCGGGGAGGGUCAUUGGAAACUGGGAAACUUGAGUGCAGAAGAGGAGAGUGGAAUUCCACGUGUAGCGGUGAAAUGCGUAGAGAUGUGGAGGAACACCAGUGGCGAAGGCGACUCUCUGGUCUGUAACUGACGCUGAGGAGCGAAAGCGUGGGGAGCGAACAGGAUUAGAUACCCUGGUAGUCCACGCCGUAAACGAUGAGUGCUAAGUGUUAGGGGGUUUCCGCCCCUUAGUGCUGCAGCUAACGCAUUAAGCACUCCGCCUGGGGAGUACGGUCGCAAGACUGAAACUCAAAGGAAUUGACGGGGGCCCGCAACAAGCGGUGGAGCAUGUGGUUUAUUCGAAGCACGCGGAGAACCUUACCAGGUCUUGACAUCCUCUGACACCCU